rnacentral:tRNA from 1 species
GGGCCAGUGGCGCAAUGGAUAACGUGUCUGACUACGGAUCAGAAGAUUCCAGGUUCGACUCUUGGCUGGCUGG